CACAGGUUUGGUCCUGGCCUUUCUAUUAGUUACAGGUAGACUUACACAUGCAAGAAUCCCCCCUCCAGUGAGAACGCCCUCCCUACCACCCCGGUAAAGAGGAGCAGAUAUCAGGCACACCCUAAAAGUAGCCCAUGACAUCUCGCCCAGCCACGCCCCCACGGGACACAGCAGUGAUAAAAAUUAAGCAAUAAAUGAAAGUUUGACUAAAUUAUGCCAUUCAGGACUGGUAAAUCUCGUGCCAGCCACCGCGGUCAUACGAUUGGGCCAAACUAAUAGACACCCGGCGUAAAGCGUGUUUUAGAGUAUAGCAACAAAUAAAAUCAAAUAUUAAUUAAGCUGUAAAAAGCUCCAGCUAUUGUAAGAUAAACUACGAAAGUGAUUUUAAAAAAUCUGAAUACACGACAACUAAGACCCAAACUGGGAUUAGAUACCCCACUAUGCUUAGUUAUAAACAUAAAAAAUUACUAAACAAAACUAUUCGCCAGAGUACUACCCGCAAUAGCUUAAAACUCAAAGGACCUGGCGGUACCUUAUAUCCCUCUAGAGGAGCCUGUUCUGUAAUCGAUAAACCCCGAUCUACCUCACCAAUCUUUGCUAAAUCAGCCUAUAUACCGCCAUCUUCAGCAAACCCUAAAAAGGAAACACAGUAAGCAUAAUCAUUAACAUAAAAACGUUAGGUCAAGGUGUAGCCUAUAGAUUGGAAAGAAAUGGGCUACAUUUCUCGACUCGAGAAACUCUACGAAAACCUAUGUGAAAACAAAAGUUAAAGGUGGAUUUAGCAGUAAAUUAAGAAUAGAGAGCUUAAUUGAAUAAGGCCAUAAGGUACGCACACACCGCCCGUCACCCUCCUCAAAUAAAACGAUGCUAAUUAAUAGUACAACCAACAAAUAAGCAUCCACAUGUGAGAGGAGAUAAGUCGUAACAAGGUAAGUGUACCGGAAGGUGCACUUGGAUAAUA
rnacentral:ncRNA from 1 species